rnacentral:lncRNA from 1 species
AUGCCUAUUGUGCCAAAAUUGGCCGAUCCUACCUUUGGAGGGCAAAUCAAUCUGUCAAAUUUUACAAUAUGAAAAUGUCGCGAUCCUUAAGAAACCUACUUUUUGAUUUUUAGUCUAUAAGAUGAAUAAAGGCAAAGACCACCUUAGAAGGUCCUCAAGAGUUAUAGGUCGAUGCGAUAAGGAAGGUAUCCUACAAAUUAAUUCAAAAGGUCAAACCGAACAAGUAGUCA